rnacentral:rRNA from 1 species
GACGAACGCUGGCGGCGUGCCUAAUACAUGCAAGUAGAACGCUGAAGAGGGGAGCUUGCUCUUCUUGGAUGAGUUGCGAACGGGUGAGUAACGCGUAGGUAACCUGCCUUGUAGCGGGGGAUAACUAUUGGAAACGAUAGCUAAUACCGCAUAACAAUGGAUGACACAUGUCAUUUAUUUGAAAGGGGCAAAUGCUCCACUACAAGAUGGACCUGCGUUGUAUUAGCUAGUAGGUGAGGUAACGGCUCACCUAGGCGACGAUACAUAGCCGACCUGAGAGGGUGAUCGGCCACACUGGGACUGAGACACGGCCCAGACUCCUACGGGAGGCAGCAGUAGGGAAUCUUCGGCAAUGGGGGCAACCCUGACCGAGCAACGCCGCGUGAGUGAAGAAGGUUUUCGGAUCGUAAAGCUCUGUUGUAAGUCAAGAACGAGUGUGAGAGUGGAAAGUUCACACUGUGACGGUAGCUUACCAGAAAGGGACGGCUAACUACGUGCCAGCAGCCGCGGUAAUACGUAGGUCCCGAGCGUUGUCCGGAUUUAUUGGGCGUAAAGCGAGCGCAGGCGGUUUGAUAAGUCUGAAGUUAAAGGCUGUGGCUCAACCAUAGUUCGCUUUGGAAACUGUCAAACUUGAGUGCAGAAGGGGAGAGUGGAAUUCCAUGUGUAGCGGUGAAAUGCGUAGAUAUAUGGAGGAACACCGGUGGCGAAAGCGGCUCUCUGGUCUGUAACUGACGCUGAGGCUCGAAAGCGUGGGGAGCGAACAGGAUUAGGUACCCUGGUAGUCCACGCCGUAAACGAUGAGUGCUAGGUGUUGGAUCCUUUCCGGGAUUCAGUGCCGCAGCUAACGCAUUAAGCACUCCGCCUGGGGAGUACGACCGCAAGGUUGAAACUCAAAGGAAUUGACGGGGGCCCGCACAAGCGGUGGAGCAUGUGGUUUAAUUCGAAGCAACGCGAAGAACCUUACCAGGUCUUGACAUCCCGAUGCUAUUUCUAGAGAUAGAAAGUUACUUCGGUACAUCGGUGACAGGUGGUGCAUGGUUGUCGUCAGCUCGUGUCGUGAGAUGUUGGGUUAAGUCCCGCAACGAGCGCAACCCCUAUUGUUAGUUGCCAUCAUUCAGUUGGGCACUCUAGCGAGACUGCCGGUAAUAAACCGGAGGAAGGUGGGGAUGACGUCAAAUCAUCAUGCCCCUUAUGACCUGGGCUACACACGUGCUACAAUGGUUGGUACAACGAGUUGCGAGUCGGUGACGGCAAGCUAAUCUCUUAAAGCCAAUCUCAGUUCGGAUUGUAGGCUGCAACUCGCCUACAUGAAGUCGGAAUCGCUAGUAAUCGCGGAUCAGCACGCCGCGGUGAAUACGUUCCCGGGCCU